rnacentral:rRNA from 1 species
CCCUUAGAGUUUGAUCCUGGCUCAGGAUGAACGCUGGCGGCGUGCUUAACACAUGCAAGUCGAACGAAACACCUUAUUUGAUUUUCUUCGGAACUGAAGAUUUGGUGAUUGAGUGGCGGACGGGUGAGUAACGCGUGGGUAACCUGCCCUGUACAGGGGGAUAACAGUCAGAAAUGACUGCUAAUACCGCAUAAGACCACAGCACCGCAUGGUGCAGGGGUAAAAACUCCGGUGGUACAGGAUGGACCCGCGUCUGAUUAGCUGGUUGGUGAGGUAACGGCUCACCAAGGCGACGAUCAGUAGCCGGCUUGAGAGAGUGAACGGCCACAUUGGGACUGAGACACGGCCCAAACUCCUACGGGAGGCAGCAGUGGGGAAUAUUGCACAAUGGGGGAAACCCUGAUGCAGCGACGCCGCGUGAGUGAAGAAGUAUCUCGGUAUGUAAAGCUCUAUCAGCAGGGAAGAAAAUGACGGUACCUGACUAAGAAGCCCCGGCUACUCUG